UUACUUAGGGCACAUCAUCACAGGGUCAAAUCAACACAGAAGACUGAAAAACAAAGAACUCGUAUUUUGUAUGGGCAGCCUCUCAAAUUAGGUGAAACAUGUGAAUGGGAAUGUAAGAUAAAUGCAGAUUUCCUGCAUAUAUCAAUGAUGCCACUUCAAGCCAAGUUCUGGGCAGAGCUUGACAAAUACACAGCUAAUUUGAUGAAGGUCUUCAUCAGUAGAGGAGGAGCUGCUGGAAGGAAGAUCAGACUCCAAAUGGCUCCAACA